UCCCUUGCACAUACCUUCUCUGAUUUGUCUAUGUCCUCUUCCCUCAAUCUCUACGACAACCGCCUUACCAACUAAACUCCACCACAUUCUCUGUUGCUUCACCCAUCUUCUGAUUACCUAUUACGGAGUAUCAUCUUUAACCUCAAAAACUUCUCUCCCCUCCUCACCAACUCCAUCUUCUCUAAACUAUCCCUGCUCGUCGAGCUUCUCGAUGACGUUCCUCUCAGAGUGAUGAAUUGAUAAACGGUCUCCGCAAAUGGAGUAUUUCGAUGGAUACGGAGACGACGAAAAUGAAGAAUAUGAAGAAGACGAGGAAGAAGAUCGAAGCUUGGUUUUGUUAAUUAGGUUUGUGGAAAUAUCUUCAGAUUUUUUUAUAAAGGCUUGACUCCUUUGCGUUUGGAGCUCCUGAGUCCUGACAAUAAGAAGUACCCGUUUGUGGAUUUGGCAAUCUGGCUUAAUGUUGUAGGACGUGAUGGAGGCACUAUGACAGGGGUUCUUAGAAAACUAUUGAGAAAGUUGACGAGACCUUAAUAGAGGAGAAGAUAAGCUACUUAGAUAUCUUUAAAAUUGUGAAGCUAACAUUCGAGAAGCAUAGGAACGAGUUGGUGGUGUCACCUUCAUCGGAGGAAAUUGUGCAUUACGACCUCUAGGCGCGAAUUAUGCUACCAGUUUGCUUUUUGUGUAGGCUUGAGUCCAGGACGUGUUGAAGGCACUACUAACGACAACCUUGUCCUUAUUGAGGGAACUUCUCUUCCAUAUGCCACCGGUGCAUGAAAUUAGGCUCCAGUGCUUGGAAGACCCCUUUUUCUAGCCAUUCCCUAUCCAACUUCUAAUGUGUAUAAACUAAACGGUUUUCAAACAUUUCCUGGUCAUGUUGUAUAAUGCCCGUGCUUCUUUUGCCGUCAAACAUUUCUUCAUUUUGCAUAUGGAAUAGGAUACAACUUUUUCUAUGUAGUAAGACCUCAUGUGCUAAGAGUUUUUAUUGGAACACGAGGACUCUUCAACACUUCAUGUUCCUAAAGAAUACCUUUCUACAUCUUUUGUAAACAUUAAGCGCUACAA